rnacentral:rRNA from 1 species
GGGGAAUAUUGGGCAAUGGGCGAAAGCCUGACCCAGCAACGCCGCGUGAAGGAAGAAGGCCCUCGGGUUGUAAACUUCUUUUAUCAGGGACGAAACAAAUGACGGUACCUGAUGAAUAAGCCACGGCUAACUACGUGCCAGCAGCCGCGGUAAUACGUAGGUGGCAAGCGUUAUCCGGAUUUACUGGGUGUAAAGGGCGUGUAGGCGGGCCUGCAAGUCAGGUGUGAAAUUCCAGGGCUCAACCCUGGAACUGCACUUGAAACUGUGGGUCUUGAGUGAUGGAGAGGCAGGCGGAAUUCCGUGUGUAGCGGUGAAAUGCGUAGAGAUCUGGAGGAAUACCGGUGGCGAAGGCGGCCCCCUGGACGAAGACUGACGCUCAGGUGCGAAAGCGUGGGGAGCAAAC